rnacentral:rRNA from 1 species
CCCUUAGAUGUUCUGGGCCGCACGCGCGCUACACUGAUGAAUUCAACGAGCUCCUAACCUAGGCCGAAGGGUCCGGGUAAUCUUUGAAAUUUCAUCGUGAUGGGGAUAGAUUAUUGCAAUUAUUAAUCUUCAACGAGGAAUUCCUAGUAAGCGCGAGUCAUCAGCUCGCGUUGAUUACGUCCCUGCCCUUUGUACACACCGCCCGUCGCUCCUACCGAUUGAAUGGUCCGGUGAAAUGUUCGGAUCGCGGCAAAUCGGACGGGUAACCGUCAGGUUCGCUGCGAGAAGUUCAUUAAACCUUAUCAUUUAGGGGAAGGAGAAGUCGUAACA